rnacentral:lncRNA from 12 species
CCCCCCCCCCCCCCCCCCCCCCCCCCCCCCCCCCCCCCCCCCCCCCCCCCCCCCCCCCCCCCCCCCCCCCCCCCCCAUCCCACCGCAUCCCACCGCAUCCCACCGCCCCGCAUCCCACCACAUCACACUGUCUCUCGCUCCUGCCCCGCGUCCCACCACCCCGCAUCCCCUCUCCUGCCCCGCGCUCCUGCUCCGCAUCCCACCUCAUCCCACCUCGUCCCACCGCAUCGCAUCGCCCCGCACCCCACCGCCCCGCGCUCCUGCCCCGCGUCCCACCGCACCGCUCCGCAUCCCACGGCCGGCACCGCUCCGCAUUGCACCGCACAGAGCAGCGCUGCCGGCACCGCUCCGCAUGGCAUCUGUCCGCACCGCACCGCACUGCCGGCACCGCACCGCACUGCCGGCACCGCACCGCCACGCCACUACGGCCAAGCCUCGGUGUACCUUGAAAUUCGAAUACUUAAGUAAAAGACCAGAUUUUUUCCGACGGCACUCCGCAGGUGCGGAGGCGGCAGCGUGCGCAGGGAGGCUCCGGGACCGUGUCCCGCUCCCUCGGACAGGAAGGUGCCGCAGAAGAGCCGAAUCAGCUUCAGCAGCAGCGGAUGGGCGGCACGGGAGCCUUCACUGCCUGUCCUGGCUGUUCACCCCAGCAGAAGCCUCCGGCCCCGUUUCUCCCAAACACUGCGGGGGAGAAGGAUACCAGCAUCCCGCAUAUAAAUGUAGAAAGUAGCUUUGCAGCUCUCCAAGAAUUCCAAGGGAGAACACUGAGAAUACAGAACAGGCUGCAGACUCUUGAAUCAGGAAAAGAGCAAAUCUCCAUUAUAUGGACAGAGCAAAC